CCUACGGGUGGCAGCAGGGAGGAAUAUUGGUCAAUGGGCGGAAGCCUGAACCAGCCAAGUAGCGUGCGGGAUGAAGGCCCUACGGGUCGUAAACCGCUUUUGCACGGGGAUAACACCCUCCACUUGUGGAGGUCUGCAGGUACCGUGCGAAUAAGGGCCGCCUAAUUCCGUGCCAGCAGCCGCGGUAAUACGGAGGGCCCGAGCAUUAUCCGGAUUCAUUGGGCUUAAAGGGAGCGUGUGCGGGCGUUAAAGUCAGCUGUAAAAUCGCGCGACUCAACCGCGCACCGUAGUUGACACUGGACGCCUGUAGUUCACAACAGGCAGGCGGAAUUCGUGGUGUAGCGGUGAAAUGCGUAGAUAUCACGAGGAACCCCGAUUGCGAAGGCAGCCUGCCGGAGUGCGACUGACGCUGAGGCUCGAAGGUGCGGGUAUCAAACAGGAUUAGAUACCCCGGUAGUC
rnacentral:rRNA from 1 species